rnacentral:rRNA from 1 species
GACGAACGCUGGCGGCGUGCCUAAUACAUGCAAGUCGAGCGAACGGACGCGACGCUUGCUUCUCUGUUGUUUGCGGCGCACGGGUGUGUCACACGUGGAUCCCCCCCCUAUCAGACUGGUAUCACUUCGGGACUCCGGCGCUUACACCGGAUAAUCUUCUGCUCCGCAUGGUUCAUUAGUGAAUUUCGGUCUUGCUGUCUCUUCUCGCUGGAUCCCCGCUGCAUUAGCUAGUUGGUAAGGUAACGGCUUACCAAGGCAACUAUGCAUAGCCGACCUGAGAGGGGGAUCGGCCGCACGGGAGCGGGAACACGGUCCAGACGCCUACGGGAGGGAGCAGUAGGGAAUCGGCCGCAGUGGGCGAGAGCCUGACAGAGCAACGCCGCGUGAGAUAUGAAGGUCUUCGGAGCGUAAAACUCGGUUAUGAGGGAAGAACAGAUGUGUAAGUAGCUGUGCACAGCUUGACGGUACCUAAUCAGAAAGCCACGGCUAACUACGUG